rnacentral:rRNA from 1 species
UUUUUUAAUUGAAAACUUGUAUGAAUGGUUGAAUGAAAUAUAUUCUGUUUCAUAAAAAUUUUAUUAAAAUUUUAUUUUUUAGUUAAAAAGCUAAAAUUAAAUUAUAAGACGAGAAGACCCUAUAAAGUUUUAUAUAUUUAUUUAAAUAAUUUAUAUGGUUAUUUUUAUAUUUUUUAAAUAAAUUUAUUUUAUUGGGGUGAUAAUAAAAUUUAAUUAACUUUUAUUUUUAAAAACAUAAAUUAAUGAAUUUAAAUGAUCCUUUAUUAAUGAUUAAAAAUUUAAAUUACUUUAGGGAUAACAGCGUAAUUUUUUUUUUAAGUUCAAAUUUAUAAAAAAGUUUGC